ACAUAUUCCCUGGUCAACUACAAGAAAAGAAUCACAAGACAGGAAACUGAUGCCCAGUGAAAUGGUGGAACCUGACAUAUUCCCUGGUCAACUACAAGAAAAGAAUCACAAGACAGGUAACUGAUGCCCAGUGAAAUGGUGGAACCUGACAUAUUCCCUGGUCAACUACAAGAAAAGAAUCACAAGACAGGUAACUGAUGCCCAGUGAAAUGGUGGAACCUGACAUAUUCCCUGGUCAACUACAAGAAAAGAAUCACAAGACAGGUAACUGAUGCCCAGUGAAAUGGUGGAACCUGACAUAUUCCCUGGUCAACUACAAGAAAAGAAUCACAAGACAGGUAACUGAUGCCCAGUGAAAUGGUGGAACCUGACAUAUUCCCUGGUCAACUACAAGAAAAGAAUCACAAGACAGGUAACUGAUGCCCAGUGAAAUGGUGGAACCUGACAUAUUCUCU